rnacentral:tRNA from 1 species
GUUAAGUUGGCAGAAAAGUGCAUUAGACUUAGGAUCUAAAAAUAAGAAUGAUUUCUUACUUAAUA